rnacentral:rRNA from 1 species
GGGGAACUGACUGCUUAUUGCACCACAUGUGUUUUUCUUUGAAACAAACUUGCUUUGGCGGUGGGCCCAGCCUGCCGCCAGAGGUCUAAACUUACAACCAAUUUUUUAUCAACUUGUCACACCAGAUUAUUACUAAUAGUCAAAACUUUCAACAACGGAUCUCUUGGUUCUCGCAUCGAUGAAGAACGCAGCGAAAUGCGAUACGUAAUAUGAAUUGCAGAUAUUCGUGAAUCAUCGAAUCUUUGAACGCACAUUGCGCCCUCUGGUAUUCCGGAGGGCAUGCCUGUUUGAGCGUCGUUUCUCCCUCAAACCGCUGGGUUUGGUGUUGAGCAAUACGACUUGGGUUUGCUUGAAAGACGGUAGUGGUAAGGCGGGAUCGCUUUGACAAUGGCUUAGGUCUAACCAAAAACAUUGCUUGCGGCGGUAACGUCUACCACGUAUAUCUUCAAACUUUGACCUCAAAUCAGGUAGGACUACCCGCUGAACUUAAGCAUAUCAAUAAGCGGGAGGAA